rnacentral:rRNA from 1 species
AUUGAACGCUGGCGGCAUGCCUUACACAUGCAAGUCGAACGGCAGCACGGGGGCAACCCUGGUGGCGAGUGGCGAACGGGUGAGUAAUGCAUCGGAACGUGCCCAGUAGUGGGGGAUAACCAGUCGAAAGACUGGCUAAUACCGCAUAUGACCCAAGGGUGAAAGCGGGGGACCGUAAGGCCUCGCGCUAUUGGAGCGGCCGAUGUCUGAUUAGCUAGUUGGCGGGGUAAGAGCCCACCAAGGCGACGAUCAGUAGCUGGUCUGAGGGGACGACCAGCCACACUGGGACUGAGACACGGCCCAGACUCCUACAGGAGGCAGCAGUGGGGAAUUUUGGACAAUGGGCGCAAGCCUGAUCCAGCCAUGCCGCGUGCGGGAAGAAGGCCUUCGGGUUGUAAACCGCUUUUGGCAGGAACGAAACGGCGCAGGCCAAUACCUUGCGCUAAUGACGGUACCUGCAGAAUAAGCACCGGCUAACUACGUGCCAGCCGCCGCGGUAAUAC